AUCAAACACCAACUGUGAACAAUACAAACAUUUGGAAAUAAUUGAAAGAAAUAACUGAAAUACUUUCUUAUUAAAACAAAGUUUACCUUUUUAAACAGCGGCAUUUCAAUCUACAGACAAUAGUUACCUGAUUUUUCAAGAAACCACCCUGUAGUGUUUAGCAAAGAUCCUGAACUCUCCUGCGUGCGAGGAAUGGCCGUUUUCUGCUAAGAUCUCUGGGAAGGAGGAGAUCGGAGCACUUGGAGAAAACCCACGUGUUCCACAAGGAGGACCCACAGAUUCCUCAGAGAACUCGACCUCUGGAACUCCCUGAGCUGAAAUACUGUGGUGCUCAUUGCCACGAUGCCGUGGAUCAAGUGAGCUGUGCCAGUUUGGAAGUUCUGCAAACUCAGGCAGCCACGAAACAAAGAAACCCAAAAGAACCAAUAAAAAUAGACCGUUAAACUGCCACUGUGCAGAGACAAAAAGAACAAAUCAUGCAAACAGUAAAUAACAUUCUGAACUGAUGACUGCAAGGAGAGUCCAAAACCCAUAGUUCGGUGCAGAGUCGAGUAAACAUCAUGGAGCAGUGAGCUGAACCCCAACACGCUGACCUUUUCAAUCUGACCCAACAACUAAAUCAAUGCCCAAACAGUCACCUCGAUACACCCUGGGGCCCGGAUUCCGCCAACUCGAUUCGACCUGUAUCCGCCCUUUCUGAUUUGGCAUGGCACCUAAAUCACCGCCUAAGUACCUGGUUCAGUGGUCUUGAUAUGCACUGGCCCCUGGACCUCACCUCCUCGACUCGGCCCAGUGCUUAAGUCAAUUGAACCUCGUGUCUUGCUCGCUCUUGGUGAGGGAUUCACCAUCUCAGCUUGCCUCGAUUCGACCACAUCGAAUUGUCUCCAAGUCCAAAGGGAAGUCG